rnacentral:rRNA from 1 species
UAAAUAUGUGCCAGCAGCCGCGGUAAUACGUAUGGUGCAAGCGUUAUCCGGAUUUACUGGGUGUAAAGGGAGCGUAGGUGGCAAGGCAAGCCAGAAGUGAAAACCCGGGGCUCAACCGCGGGAUUGCUUUUGGAACUGUCAUGCUAGAGUGCAGGAGGGGUGAGCGGAAUUCCUAGUGUAGCGGUGAAAUGCGUAGAUAUUAGGAGGAACACCGGAGGCGAAGGCGGCUCACUGGACUGUAACUGACACUGAGGCUCGAAAGCGUGGGGAGCAAGCAGGAUUAGAUACCCUGGUAGUCCACGCGGUAAACGAUGAAUACUAGAUGUCGGGUAGCAAAGCUACUCGGUGUCGUCGCAAACGCAAUAAGUAUUCCACCUGGGGAGUACGUUCGCAAGAAUGAAACUCAAAGGAAUUGACGGGGACCCGCACAAGCGGUGGAGCAUGUGGUUUAAUUCGAAGCAACGCGAAGAACCUUACCUGCUCUUGACAUCCCAUUCGAUAGAGGGUAAUGCCUCUAGCCCUUCGGGGGAAUGGAGACAGGUGGUGCAUGGUUGUCGUCAGCUCGUGUCGUGAGAUGUUGGGUUAAGUCCCGCAACGAGCGCAACCCUUAUUGUCAGUAGCCAGCAGGUGAAGCUGGGCACUCUGAUGAGACUGCCGGGGAUAACCCGGAGGAAGGUGGGGAUGACGUCAAAUCAUCAUGCCCCUUAUGAGCAGGGCUACACACGUGCUACAAUGGCGUAAACAGAGGGAAGCGAAGGGGUGAUCCGGAGCAAAUCUCAAAAAUAACGUCUCAGUUCGGAUUGUAGUCUGCAACUCGACUACAUGAAGCUGGAAUCGCUAGUAAUCGCAGAUCAGAAUGCUGCGGUGAAUACGUUCCCGGGUCUUGUACACACCGCCAGAGGCACCAUGGGAGUCGGUAAUGCCCGAAGUCAGUGACUCAACCGAAAGGAGAGAGCUGCCGA